AACGAACGCUGGCGGCGUGCCUAACACAUGCAAGUCGAACGGGAUUCGGAGCUUGCUCCGAUGAGAGUGGCGCACGGGUGAGUAACGCGUAGAUAAUCUGCCUGAUGAUCUGGGAUAACAGUUCGAAAGGACUGCUAAUACCGGAUAAGCCCACGGAGACCUUGGUCUUUGGGGGAAAAGGGGGGGACCUUCGGGCCUUCCGUCAUCAGAUGAGUCUGCGUACCAUUAGCUAGUUGGUAGGGUAAAGGCCUACCAAGGCGACGAUGGUUAGCUGGUCUGAGAGGAUGAUCAGCCACACUGGAACUGAGACACGGUCCAGACUCCUACGGGAGGCAGCAGUGGGGAAUUUUGCGCAAUGGGGGAAACCCUGACGCAGCAACGCCGCGUGAGUGAUGAAGGCCCUUGGGUCGUAAAGCUCUGACAGAGGGAAAGAAAUGUGGGUGGCUAAUAUCCAUACCACUUGACGGUACCCUCAAAGGAAGCACCGGCUAACUCCGUGCCAGCAGCCGCAGUAAAAC
rnacentral:rRNA from 1 species